rnacentral:pre_miRNA from 1 species
AUGUGGAUGAUCGAAGGAACUCAUGGUGUGAUAUAAGAUAUGAUUAUAUCACAGCAGUAGUUACCUGAUAUUUUCCACAU